rnacentral:rRNA from 1 species
GAUGAACGCUGGCGGCGUGCCUAAUACAUGCAAGUCGAGCGAACGGACGAGAAGCUUGCUUCUCUGAUGUUAGCGGCGGACGGGUGAGUAACACGUGGAUAACCUACCUAUAAGACUGGGAUAACUUCGGGAAACCGGAGCUAAUACCGGAUAAUAUUUUGAACCGCAUGGUUCAAAAGUGAAAGACGGUCUUGCUGUCACUUAUAGAUGGAUCCGCGCUGCAUUAGCUAGUUGGUAAGGUAACGGCUUACCAAGGCAACGAUGCAUAGCCGACCUGAGAGGGUGAUCGGCCACACUGGAACUGAGACACGGUCCAGACUCCUACGGGAGGCAGCAGUAGGGAAGCUUCCGCAAUGGGAGAAAGCCUGACGGAGCAACGCCGCGUGGGUGAUGAAGGUCUUCGGAUCGUAAAACUCUGUUAUUGGGGAAGAACAUAUGUGUAAGUAACUGUGCACAUCUUGACGGUACCUAAUCAGAAAGCCACGGCUAACUACGUG